ACGCUUUGCCUUGCCCAGGGCGCCAUUUCCAAAUCUUCGAAAGCUCCGUUCCCGUUUCAAAAUCUCCCGUGAUCCCCAACGCGCCUCGCCUCCCAUCCCCCGAAAUUCCCCACCCAAAAACCCUACCGCGGCGAGAUGCCGCCGGAGCCGGACUCCGCGGCGGGCCUCGCGGCGGCCGUCCUCGCCGCGUCCACCCCGCGCGCCGCGGCGGAGGCGGUCUCCUCGGUCGCGGCCUUCCUCCGCCGCCACCACGCGGACCAGCCGCGCGCCUUCUUCGCCGACGCGCUGCCCGCGCUGCUCUUCCGCCUCUUCGUCUCCCGCGCCCCCGACUCGCCGCCGUGCUUCCUCGACCUCGCCGCGCACGACCCCGCGCUCGCCUACCUCCUCGAGUCGCUCCUCGCGCCCUCGGGCCCGCUCCUCGCCGCCAUCUCCGCCGCGGACCGCCACGCCCUCCUCCGCUUCACCUUCCCGCGCGAGCGGCUCCCCGACUGGCUCGGCUUCGCGCUAUCCUCCUCCGAUCAGGUGAUCUCGCCGCUCCUCGCCGGCCGCGUCGGCUCCAAGCUCCACCUCUCCGUCUUCGAGUACUACCUCUUCUGGUUCGCGUACCACCCCAUCCCCGCCACCACCUCUGCCAAUCCAUCCCCCGGCCCCUCAAAACCACCGCCCUCCACCUGGAAACCCUCGCUGAAACCGCGCGCCCGCCUCGAGAGCUGGGUGUCCACCAUCGCCCCCACGGCGGGCCGCAACCCCGACUCCAAACCGCACACAUCGCUCUACCUCAACCUUCUCCACGCCUACCUCAAGGAGUUCGUGCCCAGCGACUGCGCCCCGCCCCGCGGCACACUGCUGCACCAGAAUUCCCGACACGGCGUGGACGCAGCCGAAUCGUUCAGGCGAGUCGAGUUCCUCGUGCACACGCUCGUGCAGUUCUGGCUGGUCGGGAACGAUUUCUCGCCGCUGCCCGUGCAGACCUCCCGCGCCUACGGGCUGCCUUUGCUCUCUCUCCUCUCCCGUGCAAACACCACACUCUCCGACAGGCUGCCGGCGCCAGGGCUCGGCAAUGCCGUGAAGCUGCUGGUGAUGUAUCUGAACAGCAGCAGCGGUGUUCCAGAUGUGCGCAAUGUGUUCGACGCAAUGCUCUCGAGGAAGAAGCCAUGUGAGAGCCCAGCUGGGUACUGGAAUCCGUUGCUGCAGAGGCCGCUGUAUCGGUUUACGCUGAGGACGUUCCUGUUCUGCCCGAUGGGCGCAGAUAUCGAAAACGUUGCACAGGCUUUUUCUGCAUGGAUGGUCUACAUGGAACCAUGGAAGGUUCAGCAAGGUGAUUUCAAUGAGUACGAUCUGCCACCUCCUGGUGGGCGAAAUGUGCAUUGCGUUGGUGAUGGGAAGAGGCUAAACUGUGAUGCAGAGUACUCCCCGGCAUGGCAGGGCUACGUGCUAUCCAACUAUCUGUUCUACAGCUCACUGGUUGUCCAUUUCCUGCGGUUCGCUCAUAAGUUUAUCCAUUCUGAUGUCGCCUCAGUGCUGCAAAUGGUAUCAAAGGUACUGCAAGUUUUGGGUUCCUCGGAAUUAUUGGGGCUUAUCUACAAAGUUGAUGCUGCUUAUCAUUCCAAUCUUUCUGAUUCCCAGUCCUGUUGUUUGGAUGAUGUGCUCAAGUAUUUACCAGCUAUCCGUGAGCAACUACAGGACUGGGAGGAUGGGUUAUCGAAACACAACACUGAUGUGUCUUUCUUGCAUGUGGAGAGGAACUCUAACCUAAGGCUUUUCAGUUUCGAUGAUAAUGGGGCUUACAACUUGCUUAAGUUGCUGUUGCUAAGGGCUGAAUCGGAGAUUCAAGGUUUACCAGGUGAUGCUAUGAUAACUCUCCAGACUCUGGAUGUAAUCAAAUCCAAUAUGAAAAAGGUAUUCUACAAGCAUGUUGAAAGCUCCCAGGCAAACAAUCUUCCAGAGGGAGAACACAACCAGCAUCAUGUACGUGGUGAUGUAUUCAUACCUAAGCAUCCAAGUCCAGGGAAAAGCUCACUGGCUGAUAUGAAAAAUAAUGGUGAUUGGAUGACGAGGCCCAUCUCAGACACUGAAGUGGCCUGGCUUGCAAGGAGGCUGAUCUGCUUUUCAUCUUGGCUGAAUGAAACCCUUCAACUUAAACAUGCUGUCACAGAUGUUGCCCCCACAGGCCCAAUUAUCAUCAAGGUUGACCAAAAUGAACCGAGCAGAGUUGGAGGCCCAAAGGAUGCUGCCAGAAUGGUGCUUGUUGGUGUCUUUACAUUGUUCAUGGUGGUGGGACAAUGGAUCCUGCGGUUCAUGAGGAUGCACAGGAUUAGGAUCAAUCUCAGAAUUCUUGCCUCCAAAAAGCUCCUGGCACUUGCUGUGCUGUACAUGGUGUACAGUAUAGCAAAGAAUAUGCUUUCUUGAGCUCUGCAUCUCACUGCUGGUGUUGCUUUGCCAGUAAUUGCUCAAACUUCCAAGUUAUGCCUUGAGUAGAGCUGUAGAGGUGUUACAUACGCUGUACAGUAAUUCAUAGGAGAAAAACUUCAGAGGACACUUUCGCAACUCUUUCAAACUUGUUUGGUUAUCUUGUGCAUAUCAUUGAGAUCCCAUUGGAAGUCUGAAGAAUGUUGUUUCAUGCUUGCUGGUGAACAAUUGACUAAACCUAUAGGAGUGGUGUUUUCAUAUUACCUGGCUGGAAACCAGAUUUCUUCUUCGUUUCAAGCUGAAUCAAUUAGGUCCGAACGAGAGGAAAAUAGGAGGAGAAGGCCUGUUUUUUUUUCCAAAGGUAUCACAUGGAUGCAUAUGUCUUGUCUUGUGAAGCAUCUCAUGAUGGCAAGUGAAAGCUAGCUAAGCCAUCAGCAUCUGCUGCAGCACCCAUAUGAUGAGCUUCCUUUCCAACAGUAAACAACUGUUAAGGCUGCAUCCGAGUCACGAUCUCCUUCUCCUCUACUACUUUGCACCGGAGAGAUGCAUGCAGAUGCAAUGGUCAAGCAAGACACACAAGUAAGCGUACUACCUGGGGGCCUUGCUGCUGCUUUAUUCCUUGCUUGUAGCCGUAGCACUGUGCUCCUCGCCCCUUUGCUCUACGGAUUUGCCCCUUUCGCCCUGAAAGCAACUGAGCUAGAGUCAAUUACCAAAAGAAAAUAAAAAAUGCACCCUUUUGUUGUUGCCUAGUCAUUGUUAACAACUUUGAGUUUGGCACUGUUUCUUUUUUUCCCUCAGAGGUUCACAUCCCGGGGGCCAACUGACAUGUAUAUGUGCAUAUGUAGGAACAUUUGGGCAUCAUUAGAUUGAGAUUCGUACGUUUCUAAACCACCUUGGAUUGAUGUGCAUUUGGUCAAGCUAGCUACACUACAUAGAUAGCUAGCAUAUUAGUAGUGAUAACCAGGCAUCCUCAAUUGUAGCCACAACAUACAAGCUAGCUAGCCAGUACUAUGCGAUAUGCUUCCAUCAUCAUGUUGUUAUGAUCAGCUUUAUUUUAGUGUAUUUGCUUUGCGCCAAGAUGUUUUUUUAGACCCUCUUGCACAUCCAUUGCGAAAUUGCGUCGUGGUGUAGCAUAUGCCCUACUUACGGGCAAUAAGUAGGCCAUGAUGAGGUUAGCAAUCGAUCACAACUUUGCAACGAACAAACACUACCAUUUCAAAGAUUUGCUUUUGAUCGAUCUCUGCUCCCAGGGUUCUCGCUUUGCAUUCAUGAGUAGUGUGUGCGUGCUUGAUGGGACUCCAGUGUGCAUGCAAUUUCUCGAUGCAAAACCCCAUCUGCAAGAUUUUGCUGUCGCUUCCGUGCAAUCUCGCGGAAAGGGAUGGGGCGGCAUGUCAGUCUCUUAUAUCAAUAACAGGACAAAUCAAUUAGGCCAUGGACUGAAUCACGUACUAAUAGUACGUACUAUAGUGCAUAUAAUUGCCUGUACCAUGUAGUAGAGGGGUAGCUUUUGUUAAUCGUGACGCGAUCAGGUCCUGGAAAAAUUAAUCGUACACGCGGACCAAUUGAAGCUUUAUGCUUGUAUAGUACUGGUACGUCAGUAACCAUCUGCUAAUUAAUUGGCGUUGGUUGAGGCCAUGCUUUCGGUAAACUAACUGAUCGCUCGCUCCCUAAUUAACACGGCCUAGAUGACACCUCAUUUUCUCCUUUCUGCCUAGAUCUAGGGAUUAUUAGACGGUGAGAGCAUGCCAGACGGUAACAGGCAGGGGCGAUUAGCACUUGGUAGCAACAU